rnacentral:sRNA from 1 species
GCUGGGUGUGGUGGCACACGCCUGUAAUCCCAGUGGCUCAGGAGGCUGAGGCAGGAGGAUUGCGAGUUCAGGAUUGCGAGUUCAAAGCCAGCCUCAGCAAUAGAAAGGCGCUAAGCAAUGCAGUGAGACCCUGUCUCUA